UCACUACCAGGAUCUUCUGCUAAAGGUCCUUGGAGCUCUUGAAUGGGCUCUGUUUUAGGGUGCCUGUUCCCAUCAGGAUGUGCGGAAAUGUGUCUGCUUGCUUUCUAAAUCCCUGGGAUUAAUUUUCUACAUGAAAUAACAGUUUCUUAUUGCAGAGAGAGUAACUACAGUGUUGCUGAGAGAAAGGUUUGUGUCUGGUUUGUGCUCAGAGUGCUCCUGCCCUACUUCAUUGCCUGGUACAAUCGAAGUGAAGGCACUGAGAAGGGACAGCUCAGACCAGCUUCUGAGCUGAUAUUGACUGAAAACUCAUCCCUUCCAUAUGGGCUGCCUACAAAUGUCUAGAUCUAAAAUCUAUUCCUGGGCCUGCUACACAGUAUGAAUUUGGGGAAAGUAACUUGACUUGUCUGUGCCUGACUGUGCAAGUGUGCAAAGUGAGGAUAAGAGGAAUUACUUCUUGGGGUUUAUAAGAUUUGGUGUAAUCAUGCUUUCAGAUCUGAUUAACAGGAUAGAGUUCAAGCAUUUAUUGUUUUCUUUGGCUCAGGUGUCUCCUUGUAAAGAGUCCCAGUGGUCAUGCUCUAAAAGUGUUUGUCUGUGAGGUUUGGUACAAACCCUUAGAAGGAAACCAGAAGCCAUGGAAGGAAAAUGCAGACAACUGCCUGGGGAGGGAAGAGGCUUUCCUGUAGAGGCUGAUUGUACCAAGCUCAGGAUAUUCUGCACUGUUACUCUGUGGAUAAUGCUGGUAACAAGCUUCUGUUCUUCAGUGUUCUGCAGUGGCACUGCUGCUGAAGAGCUUCUUCAUCCUCUGUGACUCUGUCAUUGAUAAAGAUAUUAAAGAGAACUGGCCUCAACACAAGCCUGGAUCACCACUUGCAACCAGCCACCAACUGGAGUAACUGCAUCCAUCACCCAUCCAUCACCACCCUCUGGGCCUGGCCAUCCAGCCACUGUUUUACCAGGGAAAAGCACAUCAGUCUAAGCCAGGAGCAACCAAUUUCUCCAAGAAAAUACUGUGGGAAACAAUGUCCAAGGCUUUAAUAAAGUCCAGGUAAACCACAUCCACAGCGUUUCCCUCAUCCAUUAAGGUCUCUCUGAAGUUUCUUAAAGAGGAUUUAAUUUUCUUUCCCUACAGAAGUUGUAAUUUUGAGUAGGUUUUCUUCCUGCUUGUCAGGAGAGCACAAGCCACCAACUAGCUCAGACAGAGAAUAGUGGCUGAAACCAUCACUUCAAAUUGCACAUUUGAAAAAGGGUUUUUUGGAAACAUGUAAUCCUGAUAUUGUGAAACCAUAAGACGCACAGGGUUCUGCAUAUGUGGGAUUGGUCACACUGGAAACUUAGCAGAUGUGUUAUUAUGAGCCUGGUGUAUUAGCUGGAGAGAGUGGGAGAAGAACUAAAUACUUCCAGUGAUAUCUCAAAAGCAGAGAAAGAAUAAAGGCACAGUGCCAUGGCAUGAGCAAUUCUCAUAUUAGACUUGGUUGAACUACUUAUUAUAAAAUGUAUUCGUUAUGCAUUCAGUUCCCUUCUGGCCAGCAUAUAGCCCAUGAAUCAGCUCUAAUUUUUCCUAAUUUUAUUCAGCAACCCUUGUUUAGCAGAUUGAAUGAAAGAAAAAUUUUUAGCCUCCUGGCUUUCCAGAGUGUUUGUCUCAAUUACAUCUGAUACAAGGCCAUUCCCCAGCACAGCAGCAUAUUUACCUGCAAUUUAGCAUCUGUCCCCAGUAUUUUUACAGCUAGAGCAAGAAGAUGAACCCUUAAUAAGCAGAAAAUGUUAUUCUGCUAAAAUCAGGGAAACACUGGGGCUUGCAAAUGUGACAUUAAUACCUAGCAAUUGUUUGAAACAGCUCUGAGCAGUUUUUCUCAAAAUCCCUUAAACCCUCUCUACAUUAAAAGUAUUCUAUGGGAGUAGUGUACAUGAAAUGCAUAGAUUAUUCAUGCUCGUUAUUUACUUGCAAAGCCUUGACAGCAGCCAGAAAGGGAACUGGAAAUGCUCUGCAUCUCUCCAAGCCAAGAAUGUGGAUUUUCUUGCUGUUCAUCCCCAAUUCUCUCCCUUUAUCUCAUGACUCAGCUGCCUGAUGCAAGGGUUUGCAAUUACAGCUCGGCUGAUUAGCUUCCUGAAUUGCGUGCUGUGGUUUCUAGACUUCACAUGCAAUUUUGACACAUAUAUGGAUUUCAUAAAUUCACUUUCAAGAAGCACUUCGUUGUCCUAUUUUCUGAGUUUUCCUCCUGAUAAACCCUAAUGACCUGAAUAUUUAAGCCACCUGGAAGAGAAGACACAAGAGCCAGCGACAGGGCAGGCCAAAACUCAGUUCUCCUCUUAAAAAACCACUGAGUUGUUUGUUCAGCCCAGGUGAAAACCUCGGAGGAGGAAAGAUGCCUCAAGCAAAUGCCUACGAGUGUGAGAUACCAUUGAUGCAGCCCCUGGGUUUCCAUCAGCCGGGCUCAGAGCUUGCAAGCAGGCUCUGCCUCCUGUCAGGGGGUCAGUGCUCGGCAGAAAAAGCUGUAACUGAAGAGCAGAGCAAAGCUCCUCCUGUUUGUGCCUGCAACCAAAACAAUCUCUCCCGGACCAGUCGGCUCAGCUGGAGGAAAAGCCCCGGGGGUGACACAGUCUCUGCUUCCUGUUUUUCUCUUUGCACAGUAAAUGGGUUUCUAAGGUUUCCAGAGACAUGACUGAACCUCAGACAUGAGCAUCCUUGAACUUUUGGCAAGUUUGGAUUAAGUUUUGGAUGCAAAAUUUCAGCUCAGAUGUAUUUUUAAUAUUAUUUACACUCCUUGCACCACACAAGGCCUGCAGGAGUGCUGCUGUCCCCAUGAGCCAACAUGCCCUGCUCAAAGGCAGGCUGAAUCCCAGCCUGGGAGCAGUGGGCAGGUUUUUUUUGCCAUCCUGUGCUGUAUGAAUUCCAAAAGUGUGCCUGUGUAAGGGAAGGUCUGUUGUUGGCAAAGCCUGGUUACACUCUGGAGGUUAGCUGGGGAAAGAGCAGCUCUUUUGUUCUUCCCCUUCCCAGCCAUGGAUGAAAUAUCCAUCAUAAAUUUUAGCAUUCAAAAAAAGUAAUUUCCCCUAAAAGUCUUGGUUUUAUUAGAUUUCCAUUAGUCUUCCCUUUGUUCUUAUGUUUGAUUUAGGGGACACAAUCUUUAUGAAUGUAAUGUCAAAAUAAGAGGUCUGGUCUGAGACAUAAAAUGGAACAAAACCACUAGGUUUAUUUACUGCUGUCCCAAAAAGUAGUGCAAGUCAGUGGAACCAGACUGUUUGGCCUCAUACCAUAAAUUUUCAGCCACAAUUCAUAUGAUUUUCAGUUAGCCUUUUGCUCCAAGUGGUCAUUAAAUGCUGAUUGUUAAAACAUGAACUAUGAAUUAAGAUAAUUAUAAUUAUCUUUGGAGCCUCGUAGAAAAAGGCCAACUUGAUAAAGCCAUUCUUCAAGCUCCUUAGCCUGGAAAGAAGCAUUUGUCCUCUUCAAAAGCAAGGUCUGGAUAACCAUUUUAAAUUUAUGCUAUUUUAUUUUAUUAGUAGUUUUGUGGUCUGAGAUGAUGAGGUUGAUGCCAGGUGUGUGUCCUCACUUGUCCCAGUGUCUGCCACUGGUGCAGGCAUGAACAUCAACCCUACAAAGGACAGUGUGGGCCACUGCCUGGGGUUUUGUCCAGCCCAGCUAAUGUCCUUCUGUUUAUAAUUUUGGCCUCAGAUCCCCUGAAAAUGUUCAAUGUGAUGAUGCCAAAUGGUGCUUGGCAAGGCUAUGUGUCAAAUCCAGCUUUCUAGCCAGGAGAGCUGGUGUCAGAUGAUGCCUGCUUGAAGUUUCUUCACACUCUUCCAAUUACAGCCUUAAAGUGUGCAGGUGAGGUUUGGGCAUCCCCUUGCCCCUUAUGCACAGUGCCACACAGUCCUUCAGUAAGCUACAGCUACAGGCUUGUCAAAAGUAUGUGCAAGUUCCUGGGUGCAAUCUCAGCGGUAUUUGUGUUUUCAUGUGUUGUGAUGUCUUCCCACUGAGUUCAGGGAGAAAUUAUUUCUGAGACAAGGGAAAGCAAGGAGCUGGAGCCUCCUUCUGCAGCUUCCCAGGAUAAGUGGGGCUUUCUACGCAUUAAAACACCAACAUUUCCUCCUGGGCAAGGAGAAAGCAGGGAUUGUGUGUGGAAGGGGUUAUGUUUUUCUCAUGCUUUGUGCUCUUUGUCAUGUUUCUUUGGGUAUUCUGGAUAGUUAUCCCACAUGAACAAGGAUUUCACCCUCCCAGUGUUACCUGGAAGCUAACAGCAUUGGAAGAAGGGAAUCUGCCUCCUGAUUAAAGGCAUUAGGAAUGUAGAUAAUGGCUUUUAGCUUUCUGGCUCCCAAGCACUCUCUGUCUCUGUGGGGGUUCCAUAAAUCACUGUCCCCAGAGCUGGUCUCCAGCUGCUCCAGAUGUGCACAGUGCUUCUGAAAGCCAUCAUGCACAGAAUGAGUCUGUCUCACUCAUGGGAGAGACAAGGUUGUGGCUUCUCACUGGAUGUGCCUCCGGCUAAACGCCACAUCCAUGGGCUGGAAGAGCCUCUCCUAAAGCCCG